ensembl:lincRNA C430042M11Rik RIKEN cDNA C430042M11 gene
AUAUAGAAUGCUCUCCUCCUCUCAAGCACCAGGUCUGCCUACACACGGCUGUGCUUCCCACCAUGAUGAUAAUAAACUAAACCCCUGAAACUAAGCCAGCCCAGAGUAUGUUUUCCAUCAUGAGAGCUGCCAUGGUCAUGGGGUCUCUUCACAGCAAGAGAACCCCUGACUCAGACAGUGAGUUUGGAGGUGAGAUGACGAUUGUGGGGAAUCAGCUCUUUCUUUCCAUCACUGCGGAUCCCAGGGAAGGACGUUAGGUCGUCAGCUCAGUGACAAGCAUCUGUACCUCUAAUCCAUCUCGCCCCUGCCCUUUGCAGUGGCCAUGUCUGUUUGUCAACUUGAUGAUACCCGGAAUGAGCAACCAUCCAGAAGUGGAGGACAUACCUAUGGGAGAUGACUCCGCUGGGUUUGUAGUGGAUGAAUCUACUUCUAGACCAGCUUUGAGGUGAGAUCUGGAUCUUGAGGUGGGAAGACAUACCUUUAACCUGGGCCACACCCUCUGCUGGAAGUCUAUGGAAGAGGACGACAUAGGAAGCUUUCGUUCUUUGCCUGCUCACCCUCGCCUCUCGAGCACAUCCAUCCCUUCACUGGCGUUAGCGCCACCGCCUACUUCUGCGGGAUUCCGGCAGAUACAGGAGAUCAGCUGAGACAUUCAGCCUUGUGAACCGAGCAACCACUGGAUUCUUGGGCUUUAUGUUCAUGGUCAAUUAUUGUUUGAUUAGCUGGACAACAGCCUCUCUCUCUCCUUCUCCUUCUCCUUCUCCUUCUCCUUCUCCUUCUCCUUCUUCUUCUUCUUCUUCUUCGAGAUAGUCUCCCAUAGUUGCUCAGGCCCUUGGGCUUCCUCUGCAGCACAAAUAGCUUUGAAUUUUCUCUCCUGUCUCAGCCUCCAGUAGCUAGGAUUAUAGUCUGUUGCCACCAGGUCUGGCUUACUAGCAUUAUUUUGACACCACUAAUUUUGUGUUAUAGCAUCAAUAGAAAAACCAGCUGAAUCUAGUCAAUGAAAAACCCAAAACAAGACGUUAGCAUAGGUGCCACCAGCAAUAUCUGCAGAAGACCACGGACUCGGAGUGGAGUCCAGCAUCUGCUCAGUACACCAAGCGAAUGUCGGGAAAGUUCAAAGGCAGGAUCUGCGAAUCAUUGGCUCCUGGAGACCCUGAAAUGGACUGAGCAGCUAACUAUUAUAUCUGUGUGUGUGUGUCAGUUCUCUUGCUCUGCAGACACCUUCAGAAUUCAGCGCUGGCUGCUGUUCUUAGAACCUGUUCUGUUCUUGGAGCUGCGUCAUUGUUGUAUUGUUUUCUUUGUUCAACUAAACUCUACUUCCUAUGAUAGAACUAAGGAAUUCUUCCUUUCCUCAACACAAUUAUAUCAAUAAUUAAAUAUGAAAUGUGUGGACCCAGCUAC